rnacentral:tRNA from 1 species
UCUAAUAUGGCAGACAAGUGCAAUGGAUUUUAUAAAGCUCCAUAAAGGUUUAUGCCUUUUGUUAGAA